UGGUAAGGGUCUAGCUACUCUCACCUUAGAAUCCAUAAUUUCUUCAGGGAAUCUUAAGAAGUUGGUUUUGUGGUUUGUAAAAUUGGAAAGCUUGUAAGUCUAUAUAUAUAUACAUAUAUAUAUAUAUAUAUAUAUAUAUGCUGUUUUAAGAAGCUUUGAAGUUGUGUUGAUGAUUUGUUGAAGGUAGAUUAGGGUUUUUAUUAAUUAAUGAUUUUGUAUGAUUAAGGAAGUAAGAAAAAGUUAGGAUGAGUAUUGUUGAUGCUGCUGCUAGGAUUUUUGGUUGUGCUUAUUUUGCUCUAAAUGGUUAAAUGACUGUGUUUAAGUGUUUUAUAACAUGUCUUAUGAGUGUAUAAAAAAUCCCCAUAUGAGAAUAUCAUCGUUUGAUAAUUGUUUGUGAAUUUACGAUAAAACGUUGCAAAGCUGUCACUGUGACAGAUUCUGUGUUCAUGCAUGAUAAAUUAUGUAUUAAAUUGUAUAUAGUGAAUUUGGAUGCUAGGGAUAAUUCCUAUGAAACCUAAGACACUUGUGGUUGUUAUUGAAUUGGUCUCACAGCAUUUGGAUUAAUACAAAAAUAAUGGUUUAAUUUCCAAAUUGCAUGAAUUUUUGACAGGACAGAUUUGAGUAUGCCGUAUUGUGUGAUUUUUAGUAAAUCAUGGUUUUAUUCUUUGACUCCGAAAUUUUUAUCGUAUAUACUGGAUAUACAGGGGAGUAGUUCUGUAAAAUUUCAUGGCAAUUGGAUGUCUUUGGACAGCCCGUUUGUAUUUUACAAACGAAGCAUAUGCUGCUGGAAUGAGCAGUGAACAACAUAUGCUACACCCGACUUUCUGGAUUUAAUUCUCAAGUUAGGGUGUAUUUUUUGAGCUAUAAUUUAAUAUUCUCAUCCUUUGGUAUGUUGGAAGCAUAUAUAAAUUUUGUGGAUUGGUUUCUCUAUGGUUUGGCUGCAAAUGUGUUUGAUGAUUGUAUCAUAUGUUUUGGGGAACUUUAUGUGAUGGGAAUUAGGAUUUCCUUGAUUCUAAGAGAUAGGCUUUGAGAUGAAUGUGAAGUUUAUGAUAAGGAAUUAUGGAUAGUAAUAAGCUUUGAUAUUUGGUUUAGGUGUUACCAGUAUCCCAAGUUUAAGCUCCUUCGACUUUAGGCUCUCGGUUCCUCUGCUUUCAGUUAGCAGGUUUUAUUUCGGAGUAGAGGGAGCCUUAGUCGAGUUUUGAAAGGAGCUGGUUUUAGUUUGAUAUGUAUAGAUCCUAAAUUAGUAUUCUGACGUUUAGCUUUAUAGUUAUUGUGUAUUUUAGGAUCAAAUGAAAGUUGUGUAUACCUUAAAGUAUCAAGCUAUGUAUUAUGUAAAAGUGUGGAAAUUAAAUGAUUGGUGGAUUAUGUUA